AAAAUGAGGCCCUUCAACCGGCUGGAUUAUUUUUCUUCACCCUUGUCUUUUGCGCACUUGUUGUUUCCUGGGCGGGUUCGCUCGCCACCAGGACCACACCAUAAACCUUUUUGUUAAUGCAAUCAGCGUCAGUAAAAAGUAAUAAUUAUUUUACAACUUUCAACAACGGAUCUCUUGGUUCUGGCAUCGAUGAAGAACGCAGCGAAAUGCGAUACGUAGUGUGAAUUGCAGAAUUCAGUGAAUCAUCGAAUCUUUGAACGCACAUUGCGCCCUUUGGUAUUCCAAAGGGCAUGCCUGUUCGAGCGUCAUUUGUACCCUCAAGCUUUGCUUGGUGUUGGGCGUUGUUUGUCUUUGGCCUUGCCCAAAGACUCGCCUUAAAACAAUUGGCAGCCGGCCUACUGGUUUCGCAGCGCAGCACAUUUUUGCGCUUGCAAUCAGCAAAAGAGGUUGGCCAUCCAUCAAGACUACAUUUAUACGUUUGACCUCGGAUCAGGUAGGGAUACCCGCUGAACUUAAGCAUAUCAAUAAGCGGAGGAA
rnacentral:rRNA from 1 species